UGAUUGACCGAUUCAUUCGAUUGUUACAUUUCAUUCGGAUAUGGAGCCGCACACACGAUUCACCUCGCCGGCGUUCCCUCCCUCGCAUUUCUCUUUUUUUUUGUCUUUUAACCAAGUGUUCCUCCCUUGUUUCUCUUGACUCCGUACUUUUAAUUUAUGAUUACUCAAUUAAUAGUGGGGAAUUCGCCUAGAUGAGGCUAAAAUCCGGGAAUGCUCCGGUUUGAAGUGGCUUUGAUUGUCUCACGAGACCUUGAAAGCGUUCACACGAUUGAUUUGUGUUUGUAAUUACUCGGUCAUGUUCCUGAGAAAUAUUCUAGUCUAUGCGUUACUCGACCUUUGGACAUUUUAAUUGGGACAACUCCUCGCAGAAAAUGGUUUCCUCAAAUAUGCCGAGGAAGACCAAGAUCUUCGUAGGUCGGCUACCUGAGAAUUGUCGUAGCGAUGAGUUGCGUCAAUUAUUCCUUCGUUACGGGGAAGUAACGGAGUGUGACGUCAUGAAUCGUUAUGGUUUCGUUCACAUGGCGCGUGAGGAAGACGCGGCAGCGGCUAUCAAAGCUCUUCACAAUACGAAUUUCAAAGGAGCUACGAUAAAUGUCGAACAGUCGACUGGAAAGUCCCGAGGGGGUGGCCCAGGUGGAAGACGUGACGACAGACGGGGUGGCCCGAUGAGAGGAGGUCGUGGAGGAAGAGACGGUGGGAGGGACAGCAGACCCGGUCCCUAUGAUCGCAGAGGAGGUGGCGGGGGAUACUCUGACUACGGUAACCGGGGAAGUGGUGGUUAUGGAGAUCGUGGUGGUGAUUAUGGUGGCCCAGGGGGUGGAUAUGGUGACAGAGGGGGCUAUGGCCAGGGAGUAGGUGGAGGUGGCAUGGGUGGAUACAGUUCAUCAGCUCAGGGUAUGGGUGGAGGUGGAUAUGGGCCCUCAGGUGGCUCCGCUGGUGGGUAUGGCCCCAGUGGUACAUCAGACUAUGGAAGAAGUGGUGAUUAUGGUCGACCUAAUGACUUCGGUGGUCGAUCUGACUACGGUAACUUCCAGUCUGGUGGUGGAAUGGGUGGGGAUUUCAAUCGUGGUGUGCCUGGAGUGGGUGAUUAUGGACGUGGGGAUAAUUUUGGCAGUGGCAGGGCUGCUGAUCCGUAUACACAGAGAAAUGAUUAUGAUCGUAAUGCUGCUGGCCCCAUGCGCAAUGGCGGGGGAGCUGUUUCGUCGGGGGGAUAUGGGUCUGGAUACUCUGAUGGAGGCCAGUAUGGCAGGACUAUGGGUGGUGGACCCUCCUACAACAGCGGAGCACCCAAUUACAACAGUGGACCUGGGCCUCAGACCGAUAUGUUCAGCAGACGCCCUGGAAAUUCAGUCGCCAGUGGAGGUUACCCACCUGUUGGUGGAGGGUAAUUUUAUACCGAAGGUUAUGAUAGGCCAGACGCUUAUGGACCCCGUGGUGGCGGAGGUGGCCGCUUCCCAGGUCCGGCAGACGCAAUGCCCCCGAGGUACUAAUGCGUGUACCCCCCUCGAUAUUAAUUAAAAGACGAUAAAUAGUCGCGCACCGUUAAUGACAUUUAUUCUGUAUAAUUGUCAGCGGAGAGCGUGUCAGAAUGCGAACAAAAACAAAAUAAUUUCAUGGGAAGAAACAGGAAAUAAAUUUUGAUAAUUAAAAAAAAAAUGUCUCCUAUGCCUCAUCGUCCUGCCUUCUAAUAUCGAAGGACUGUCCUGCGUCUGGCGAGCAUUCACUGUAAACACUGAGUUCACCUGAAUGAUUGAAACAACAAAUAAUACAUUUAAACACGGUAUAGUUCGAUUUUCCACGAUACAAACCGUGAAAAUUUUUACGAUGAAAAUAAAUAGCGUUAAGGUACAUUAAGUCUACGUAUUUGAUUGUUUAGGCAGUAUCAGAAUGAUUAAUUCUGAUUUGAAUAGUGCGUAUCACCCGACUAAGCUGUAACGAUACUUUUUGUUCAACCUUGAAUUGAUAAUAAAAUACAAUUGAAAUUAGAUCGAAUAAGCAUAAUUGUUUUUAACCUGCAGAGGACGAAGAAUUUGGAGAAGAGGAUUCAAUGGUGAUUAACAGAAAGAGGGACUAACUUUAAUUUUUCAAUUGAUAGCGGACACGAUAGGAUAGAAGACGAGUUCAUGGUCCCCAAUAGUUUAGACAUUCACGUAAUUAAUGCGAUAUGUGCGCUGUAAAUGGUAGAAUCUUAAAGAAAAUACUGUAUGAUUUUUUAUGAUGUAAUGAGCAUUGCAAAAAUGUUUUAAUUGUUCAAAUCAAUGAUUCCUUGAACUACUAGCAAGGAUUGAUGUGGAAAAUAAUGGAAUUUUGUACAUGUGUAGCACAAAAAUGAUGAAUAAAUGACCGAAUAGUAGACUAGACAAGCGUCUUGUUGCGUUCGUCGAGAGUAA